rnacentral:lncRNA from 1 species
CUCCUACCUCAGCCUCCUGAAUAGCUGGGACUACAGACUAGGCUGAGUCUGGGCUGCUGGGAGGAGAGGACUGCAUUGCAACAGAGAUAUUCCAUAAGUGACUGUCCCAGGGUGCAGAGGGGGCAUCUCUAAAGACACAGCGGCCUGGACAAUUCCGAACAGAAGUAGUGAAGAUGGCACAUCUCAUCUUGCUCCUAACCUUAAGUGAAAUGCUGUCAAAUGCUUUCACCUCUUACUAGUAAGAUU